rnacentral:lncRNA from 1 species
AUUUAUUUUUGGUUUUGUAACAAGGGGCUUGGAAAUGGAUUAAUGCAAUAUAACAUGAGAUAGGAAAGGGAGAAUUCGCAACAACCCUAAAAAAUCAAGUGUGUGUUUUAACUAAUAAAUGAAAAUUCUAGGUUGAUUCUAGUAAAUUGUUGGUAAGAUAUUCAAGUCAAAUGAAAAUCAAUCACAUACAUUCCAUUCAUUUGUUUUAAAAUUUAAGUUUGAUAUAGUUAAUAGAGUUUAGAUGACUAAUUUUAAUUGGUCUUGGAAACAUACCCAUAAUUUUUUAAAGACAACAUUAGUGUCUCACCAAAAAAAAA